rnacentral:rRNA from 1 species
GACGAACGCUGGCGGCGUGCUUAACACAUGCAAGUCGAACGCGUGUGCUCUUUCGGGGGUGCAUGAGUGGCGAACGGGUGAGUAACACGUGAGCAACCUGCCCUUGACUUCGGAAUACCAGCUGGAAACAGCUGCUAAUACCGGAUAUGACCUCUUCCCUCUUGGGUUGGGGUGGAAAGCUUUUGCGGUCAGGGAUGGGCUCGCGGCCUAUCAGCUUGUUGGUGAGGUAAUGGCUCACCAAGGCUUCGACGGGUAGCCGGCCUGAGAGGGCGACCGGCCACACUGGGACUGAGAUACGGCCCAGACUCCUACGGGUGGCUG